UGAGGAAUAUUGCACAAUGGGCGCAAGCCUGAUGCAGCGACGCCGCGUGGGUGGAGAAGGUCUUCGGAUCGUAAAGCCCUUUUCUGCGUGACGAGAGAGGACGGUAGCGCAGGAAUAAGUCUCGGCCAACUACGUGCCAGCAGCCGCGGUAAAACGUAGGAGACAAACGUUAUCCGGAGUUACUGGGCGUAAAGGGCGUGUAGGCGGUAUGUUAAGUCUGGCGUGAAAGCUCUCGGCUAAACCGGGAGAGGUCGUUGGAUACUGGCAAACUAGAGGAUGGUAGAGGCGUGUGGAAUUCCGGGUGUAGUGGUGAAAUGCGUAGAGAUCCGGAGGAACACCAGUGGCGAAGGCGACACGCUGGGCCAUACCUGACGCUAAAGCGCGACAGCAUGGGGAGCAAACGGGAUUAGAAACCCCGGUAGUCCAUGCCGUAAACGAUGUCAGCUAGAUGUUCAGAGGCGCAAGCCGUCGGGGUAUCGAAGCAAACGCGAUAAG
rnacentral:rRNA from 1 species